rnacentral:rRNA from 1 species
AUUGAACGCUGGCGGCAGGCCUAACACAUGCAAGUCGAGCGAGCGGCGGACGGGUGAGUAAUGUCUGGGAAACUGCCUGAUGGAGGGGGAUAACUACUGGAAACGGUAGCUAAUACCGCAUACCAUCAGAUGUGCCCAUAUGGGAUUAGCUAGUAGGUGGGGUAACGGCUCACCUAGGCGACGAUCCCUAGCUGGUCUGAGAGGAUGACCAGCCACACUGGGACUGAGACACGGCCCAGACUCCUACGGGAGGCAGCAGUGGGGAAUAUUGCACAAUGGGCGCAAGCCUGAUACAGCCAUGCCGCGUGUAUGAAGAAGGCCUUCGGGUUGUAAAGUACUUUCAGUCGGGAGGCGUUACCCGCAGAAGAAGCACCGGCUAACUCCGUGCCAGCAGCCGCGGUAAUUC